rnacentral:rRNA from 1 species
AUUAGCUAGUUGGCGGGGUAACGGCCCACCAAGGUGAUGAUGCGUAGCCGACCUGAGAGGGUGAUCGGCCACAUUGGGACUGAGACACGGCCCAAACUCCUACGGGAGGCAGCAGUAGGGAAUUUUCGGCAAUGGGGGGAACCCUGACCGAGCAACGCCGCGUGAAGGAUGAAGGCCUUCGGGUUGUAAACUUCUGUUACGGAGAAAGAACAUACUGGAUAGGAAAUGAUCGAGUAAUGACGGUACUUCGUGAGAAAGCCACGGCUAACUACGUGCCAGCAGCCGCGGUAAUACGUAGGUGGCAAGCGUUAUCCGGAAUUAUUGGGCGUAAAGAGUGAGCAGGCGGUUUCUUAAGUUUGGAGUGAAAAGCAGUUGCUUAACGACUGUUGGCUCUGAAGACUGGGAGACUAGAGUGCAGGAGAGGUUAGCGGAAUUCCAUGUGUAGCGGUGAAAUGCGUAGAUAUAUGGAGGAACACCAGUGGCGAAGGCGGCUAACUGGCCUGUGACUGACGCUCAGUCACGAAAGCGUGGGGAGCAAAUAGGAUUAGAUACCCUAGUAGUCCACGCUGUAAAC